rnacentral:lncRNA from 1 species
UUGCCCAUGUUUUACUAUUCUUUAUAUUUUAGCACCUCAAUAUUCUAUAUCCUUUUUUUGUCCAUUUUUCUCUAUUUUUUUAUAUUUUGUGCAUUAUUCUCUAUUCUUGUUAACCCAGGAACAUAUAUAUGAUCGAGUAAUAAUCUGUACAGUUAAUUUUAGACUUUCUGGUUUGUAAUGAUGGGUAAAGGAAAGAUUUGUAGAUAGUUUUUAAAUAACUUUGCAUUAUCA